CUUCUUGUUCUCCUUCUUCUUCUCCUCCUCCUCUUUCUUCUUCUCCUUAUUCUCCUUCUUCUCCUCCUCCUGCUUCUUCUUCUCCUUCUUCUUCUUCUUCUUCUCCUCUUUCUUCUUCUCCUUCUUCUUGUUGUUCUAGCCUUCUUCUUCUUAUUCCCCUCUUUCUUCUUAUCCUUCUUCUUCUUCUUCUUCUUCUUCUAGUCUUCUUCUUCUUCUUCUUCUUCUUCUUCUUCUUCUU
rnacentral:lncRNA from 1 species